rnacentral:tRNA from 6 species
GCUUCACUAGCUCAGUAGGCAGAGCGUCAGUCUCAUAAGCAAGCUUGUGUUAUCUGAAGGUCGAGAGUUCGAACCUCCCGUGGAGCA